rnacentral:lncRNA from 1 species
ACUCUGGCCGCGGCGAUUCAAUAUAUCCGGAAGCAACUGUCAUGGCUGCUGUCAGUGAGGGCCCGUAAUGGAGAUCGAGUCAAGGGUUGCCCAGGGACACUUAAGAGCCUUCGGCUUCAAGGAGGCCUCUCAAAGGACAAAGGAUGAGACUGCCUGGCGGCAGAGUGCCCCCCACAAUCGUAGGAACUGUGUCGCCGCGCUUCCCGUUAACUUGCCGCUAAGUUUUUCUAGAAAAGUCGCCCUUCUUGCCAGGGGUGUCCUAUAGACUUUGUCAUGGAGUGAAACAGAAACAAAUCAGCUGGCUUGGCUUUUUCAGAGGAAACAGAGACUCUCAGACAUGAAUACUGUGACACUGACCACCAGGCCAACUUAACAUCAGCAGAUAUCCUGUCUCAGAUGAAGAGAAUGGCCUGUCCAGAAGACAGCCAAAUACAUCCUUCAAACAGACUUCACUGCAGGAGACAGAGUGGAUUCAUCCUGUAUUCUCCAUGUAGACUUCCAUCUUCAUGAGUACUCCAAGAAGAUGGUUCAGUUGACUAUUGCAAAGUCUCAGGUAUGUCUUUAUCAGCAGCAUGAAAAUGGACUAAUAGUACCAGUAGAGUGGGGCAUUGCUGAAAAGAUACCCGAAAAUGUGGAAGCAACUUUGGAACUGGGUGUUGAAAUAAUCUGGAGGGCUCAGAAGAAGAUAGGAAAAUGUAGGAAAGUUUGGAACCUCCUAGAGACUGUGAAUGGCAUUGACAAAAAUACUGAUAGUGAUAUGAACAAUAAGGUCCAGG